GUCAGAGUCUAGGAAGGGACCUGUCUGCAAAAGCUGACGCAAAGACCCUGAAACCAGGUGAUCUAGCUGGAUUGAUAACUCAGCGGAAGCAAACAAGCAUCCACUCAAAAUGAAUUAUAUCAAGUAAGGAAAUCAGACCUCUCAUCUGGAAAGCAAUGGAGACCUCACACCGAGGCAACAUAGAUAUGGAACUCUGGACUGUCCUCUAGCACCGGGUCUACCUGCAAGCUGCCAUGUUUCCUGUUACAUGAUAGUGACCUAGA